rnacentral:rRNA from 1 species
AGGGUUUGAUUCUGGCUCAGGAUGAACGCUGGCGGCAUGCCUAAUACAUGCAAGUCGAACGAACUACCUCUAUGACCUUGAAAGUGCUUGCACUGGAUUGUGAUUAGAAUUUGUAGUUAGUGGCGGACGGGUGAGUAACACGUGGGUUACCUGCCACACAGAAUGGAAUAACUAUUGGAAACGAUAGCUAAUACCGUAUAUGACCUUCGGGUUGAAAGGGGCGUUUGCCUCGCUGUGUGAUGGGCCUGCGGCGCAUUAGCUAGUUGGUAAGGUAAAGGCUUACCAAGGCGACGAUGCGUAGCCGGACUGAGAGGUCGAUCGGCCACAUUGGGACUGAGACACGGCCCAAACUUCUACGAGAGGCAGCAGUAGGGAAUUUUCCGCAAUGGACGAAAGUCUGACGGAGCAAUGCCGCGUGAGUGAUGAAGGUUUUCGAAUCGUAAAGCUCUGUUGUAAGGGAAGAACAGCACUAGUAGGAAAUGGCUAGUGUGUGGCGGUACCUUACCAGAAAGCCACGGCCAACUACGUGCCAGCAGCCGCGGUAAU